rnacentral:rRNA from 1 species
UACGUAGGGGGCAAGCGUUAUCCGGAUUUACUGGGUGUAAAGGGAGCGUAGACGGAAUUGCAAGUCUGAUGUGAAGAUCCGGGGCCCAACCCCGGAACUGCAUUGGAAACUGUAUUUCUAGAGUGUCGGAGAGGCAAGUGGAAUUCCUGGUGUAGCGGUGAAAUGCGUAGAUAUCAGGAGGAACACCAGUGGCGAAGGCGGCUUGCUGGACGAUGACUGGCGUUGAGGCUCGAAAGCGUGGGGAGCAAACAGG